rnacentral:rRNA from 1 species
UACGGAGGGUGCGAGCGUUAAUCGGAAUUACUGGGCGUAAAGCGCACGUAGGUGGUUCGUUAAGUCGGAUGUGAAAUCCCUGGGCUCAACCUGGGAACUGCAUUCGAGACUGAAUAGCUAGGGUACGGUAGAGGGAAGUGGAAUUUCCGGUGUAGCGGUGAAAUGCGUAGAUAUCGGAAGGAACAUCAGUGGCGAAAGCGACUUCCUGGACCAGUACCGACGUUCAGGCACGAAAGCGUGGGGAGCAAACAGGAUUAGAUACCCUUGUAGU